AACGAACGCUGGCGGCAGGCCUAACACAUGCAAGUCGAGCGAAGCCUUCGGGCUUAGCGGCGGACGGGUGAGUAACGCGUGGGAACGUGCCCUUUGGUACGGAGUAGCCCCGGGAAACUGGGAGUAAUACCGUAUGUGGUCGAGAGACGAAAGAUUUAUCGCCAAAGGAUCGGCCCGCGUUGGAUUAGGUGGUUGGUGGGGUAAUGGCCUACCAAGCCGACGAUCCAUAGCUGGUUUGAGAGGAUGAUCAGCCACACUGGGACUGAGACACGGCCCAGACUCCUACGGGAGGCAGCAGUGGGGAAUCUUAGACAAUGGGGGAAACCCUGAUCUAGCCAUGCCGCGUGAUCGAUGAAGGCCUUAGGGUUGUAAAGAUCUUUCAGUGGGGAAGAUAAUGACUGUACCCACAGAAGAAGCCCCGGCUAACUCCGUGCCAGCCGCCGCCGUAAUAC
rnacentral:rRNA from 1 species